GUGCUCGCUUCAGCAGCACAUAUCCUAAAAUUGGAACAACGCAGAGAUUAGCAUGGCUCCCAUGCAAGGAUGACACGCAAAUCUGUGAAGCUGUCCAUAUUUUU
rnacentral:snRNA from 1 species